rnacentral:rRNA from 1 species
UGAAAAGGGACCGACCUUCGGGAGCCUAUACAGGUGUUGCAUGGCUGUCGUCAGCUCGUGUCGUGAGAUGUUCGGUUAAGUCCGCUAACGAGCGCAACCCUCGUCGUAUGUUAUAUGUGUCAUACGAGACUGCCGGUAAAAAGCCGGAGGAAGGUGAGGAUGAUGUCAAGUCAGCAUGACCUUUAUAUCCAGGGCUACACACACGCUACAAUGGUCUGUACAAUGGGUAGCCAAGCCGCGAGGCGGAGCCAAUCCUGAAAGCAGGCCUCAGUUCAGAUUGCAGUCUGCAACUCGACUGCAUGAAGCCGGAGUUGCUAGUAACCGCAGGUCAGCAAUACUGCGGUGAAUACGUUCCCGGGUCUU